GGAAAACCAACGGUCUAAUCUAUACAAAAGACGAGAAACGAGAAACAUUUAUGAAACACAUCAACAAACGACAACCACUGAACAUCAGGUUUCUGACUUAGGACAGGUGCAAACAAAUGCAGCGGGUUUAAACGUUUUAAUAGGCGCCAACCUUUACCUUACCAGCAACAAUAGUGUAACAUCACAACACAGAAAGACACACUAUAAAUUAUCAAUUGAAAUGGCUUAACUCAAUCAAAAGACAAAUUAACAAAAACAAAUGAACAUACACUGAACAAAUAAAUUUUAUCUAUGACACAAUGUAAAUACAAAAUUAAUAAAACUAGGGGGUUAGAUGUAAAACAAUAUCAGAAAGACAACCAUAACCUUGGACAAAAUGCCGCCAAAGAAAAUAACGUUCACAGGUAAAUAAAAAUAAUUUUGUUGUAAGGUAUACAUGGAGUACGGAAAUAAUUUUUACAAAAUAAAUAAUUUUGUUGUUCCUAGUGCGAGAACAAAAGUGAAAACUUAUCGUCAUAUUAAACACUUAUCAAAGGUGGUAUAUAUUAAAAAUAGUGAGACUAGAUAUAACACUGAAUACGUAAACAUUAAAUAACACAAAUACAUUACAAAUUGUAUCAACAGGUCAAAUUAACACGAAAGUACGAUUUGAGUGUACUCGCAGUUACUAAAAGUACAAACUAAAACCGAGGGAAACACAUCAACUAUAAUAGAAAAAACAAAGGAACAACAGGAACACUGAUUUGCAACAAAAGCAAACGCCAACAUACAAAGAAACGAAUUAUUUGAUAACAACUGCCAUAUUCCUGACUUGGUACAGGACAUCUUUAACCUUUUCUUAACAGGAUCUCACAUCAACAUUUUUUUUACGUAAGUAGUGUUUCCUGAAUAUUCUCCGUAUUUAGUCAUAAUUGCAAGACACACACAUAAUGUAAAAAACGCCCUCUAGUGAUAUUUCAAAUAUUAUAAGCGUUCCUACGUUAUGCCUGUAUCACAAUAAUUAUGAGUGGGUAAAUUUGAAAAAAAUAAUUUAUCAUGUAAUGAAUGUUACACUAAGAUAGUGAUAUUGAUCAUAAUUUAAAUAUAUUACACACUCGUUAACCUUAAGGUAUCAGUUUGAACUAUCGAACUGUCUAAAUUAAAUAGUAUAUAUUCACUUAAUCUUUGACAUAGAUGUAUUUACCUAGGAGCUGACUUUCGUCUAAGAUGGAAAUCCUGAAAAAUCCGAGCAUACAUAUGUGUCUACUGUUUUUGCUGAUAAUAGGUUCUUCAAGAUGAUAUCCAAGAGAUUAUGGUGAUGAGGAGAAUAAAAAGCAGUUAGAGACUAGAUAUGCUGAUGCAACGUCCGUACCUGAAGCCGAACACAAUUCAAUCCUCACAAGACCCGGGCAGUGAAUGUCCAAAAUAUCAUUCCUUAUAUCCAAGUUAGAAUUGCUUACAAAUUUAAAGGACAACAUGUACCAAUCGAUGUUGAAAAUGACCACUUCGUACUCACCACCAACACAAGUGAAUUCACAUUCAAGAGAUGACGAUAAUGUGCCUACGCACACCAAUGACCUUAAUCAAAAUAACCCUUCCACAUCAACUGCAGUGUAAUUAUACAUUGAGCUGUGUACCAAUGGAGGAACACAUACAUUUUUGUAUUUACAAAACAAUCUGUUCAUUCCUGAACAAAUAACAUUUGUGUAUUUGAUAAAGAUAUUUAAAAGUUACUAGAACACACCCGCGAAAUCGCGGGCAUUAGAGCGUAAUUGAAAGUAUGUAAACUGUUGUAGGAUGAAUUUUUGUAAAAGAUUUAUGACUGGAGAAUUUCAGGAAAGGUAUCAAAAGUCAUCGGUACUUGGGGAUAGGACAAUUUUUUUUAGCCCUCCCCCUUUUUUCCAAAGUCCGUUAAUUUUUGUUUUCUGUUUUUCUGUAUACUAUGCACAUACAUAUACUUUAAAUAAAGUGUAUUUGCUAUUUACUAUCAA